rnacentral:rRNA from 1 species
GAUGAACGCUGGCGGCGUGCCUAAUACAUGCAAGUCGAGCGAACAGACGAGGAGCUUUCUCCUCUGACGUUAGCGGCGGACGGGUGAGUAACACAUGGAUAACCUACCUAUAAGACUGGGAUAACUUCGGGAAACCGGAGCUAAUACCGGAUAAUAUAUUGAACCGCAUGGUUCAAUAGUGAAAGACGGUUUUGCUGUCACUUAUAGAUGGAUCCGCGCCGCAUUAGCUAGUUGGUAAGGUAACGGCUUACCAAGGCGACGAUGCGUAGCCGACCUGAGAGGGUGAUCGGCCACACUGGAACUGAGACACGGUCCAGACUCCUACGGGAGGCAGCAGUAGGGAAUCUUCCGCAAUGGGCGAAAGCCUGACGGAGCAACGCCGCGUGAGUGAUGAAGGUCUUCGGAUCGUAAAACUCUGUUAUUAGGGAAGAACAAAUGUGUAAGUAACUAUGCACGUCUUGACGGUACCUAAUCGGAAAGCCACGGCUAACUACGUG